UGGGGUGUGGCGCAAUUGGCAGCGCAGUUCGCUCUGAACGAAACGGUUGGGGGUUCAAAUCCCUCCACCCCAG
rnacentral:tRNA from 1 species